ACGGAGUGAAGGAGCUUGCUCUUUCAUUUAGUGGCGCACGGGUGAGUAACGCGUAGAUAAUCUGCCUUAGACUCUGGGAUAACAUCUCGAAAGGGGUGCUAAUACCGGAUAAGCCCACGAUGGCGUAAGUCAUUGCGGGAAAAGGGGGCCUCUGAAUAUGCUCUUGAUCUAAGAUGAGUCUGCGUACCAUUAGCUAGUUGGUAGGGUAAGAGCCUACCAAGGCGACGAUGGUUAGCUGGUCUGAGAGGAUGAUCAGCCACACUGGAACUGAGACACGGUCCAGACUCCUACGGGAGGCAGCAGUGGGGAAUUUUGCGCAAUGGGGGAAACCCUGACGCAGCAACGCCGCGUGAGUGAUGAAGGCUUUCGGGUCGUAAAGCUCUGUCUAGAGGGAAGAAAUGAUAAUCGGUUAAUACCCGGUUUUCUUGACGGUACCUCUGAAGGAAGCACCGGCUAACUCCGUG
rnacentral:rRNA from 1 species